rnacentral:rRNA from 1 species
AUUGAACGCUGGCGGCAGGCCUAACACAUGCAAGUCGAGCGGAGCGGCGGACGGGCGAGUAAUGCCUAGGAAUCUGCCUGGUAGUGGGGGAUAAAGUCCGGAAACGGGCGCUUAUACCGCAUACCAUAUGAUGCGCUUUGGUGGGAAUAUCUAGUUGGUGGGGUAAAGGCCUACAAAGGCGACGAUCCGUAACUGGUCUGAGAGGAUGAUCAGUCAGACGGGAACUGAGACACGGUCCAGACUCCUACGGGAGGCAGCAGUGGGGAAUAUUGGACAAUGGGCGAAAGCCUGAUCCAGCCAUGCCGCGUGUGUGAAGAAGGUCUUCGGAUUGUAAAGCACUUUAAGUUGGGAGGCGUUACCAACAGAAGAAGCACCGGCUAACUUCGUGCCAGCAGCCGCGGUAAUUC